AUUGAACGCUGGCGGCAGGCCUAACACAUGCAAGUCGAGCGGAUGAAGGGAGCUUGCUCCUGGAUUCAGCGGCGGACGGGUGAGUAAUGCCUAGGAAUCUGCCUGGUAGUGGGGGAUAACGUCCGGAAACGGGCGCUAAUACCGCAUACGUCCUGAGGGAGAAAGUGGGGGAUCUUCGGACCUCACGCUAUCAGAUGAGCCUAGGUCGGAUUAGCUAGUUGGUGGGGUAAAGGCCUACCAAGGCGACGAUCCGUAACUGGUCUGAGAGGAUGAUCAGUCACACUGGAGCUGAGACACGGUCCAGACUCCUACGGGAGGCAGCAGUGGGGAAUAUUGGACAAUGGGCGAAAGCCUGAUCCAGCCAUGCCGCGCGUGUGAAGAAGGUCUUCGGAUUGUAAAGCACUUUAAGUUGGGAGGAAGGGCAGUAAGUUAAUACCUUGCUGUUUUGACGUUACCAACAGAAUAAGCACCGGCUAACUACGUG
rnacentral:rRNA from 1 species